rnacentral:rRNA from 1 species
GACGAACCGUGCGAACGUUGUUCGGAAUCACUGGGCUUAAAGGGCGCGUAGGCGGGCUCUCAAGUCCGGGGUGAAAUCCUCCAGCUCAACUGGAGAACUGCCUCGGAUACUGGGGGUCUCGAGGGUGGUAGGGGUAUGCGGAACUAUCGGUGGAGCGGUGAAAUGCGUUGAUAUCGAUAGGAACUCCGGUGGCGAAGGCGGCAUACUGGACCACAUCUGACGCUGAGGCGCGAAAGCCAGGGGAGCAAACGGG